rnacentral:tRNA from 1 species
CCUUUGAUAGCUCAAUUGGUAGCACAGAGGACUGUAGAUCCUACUUCAGGGUGCUGGUUCAAAUCUAGCUCAAAGGA